rnacentral:rRNA from 1 species
CCUACGGGAGGCAGCAGUGAGGAAUAUUGGUCAAUGGCCGGAAGGCUGACCCAGCCAAGCCGCGUGAAGGACGAAGGUGCCAAGCAUUGUAAACUUCUUUUGUCAAGGGACAAAAUCAGGCUCGAGAGCCUGACCGAGGGUACUUGAAGAAAAAGCAUCGGCUAACUCCGUGACAGCAGCCGAGGUAAUACGGAGGAUGCGAGCGUUAUCCGGUUUUAUUGGGUUAAAAGGUGGCUGAGGAAGGCUGUUAAGUCAGCGGUAAAAGCACGGGGCUCAACCCCGGCGAGCCGUUGAAACUGGCGUUCGUGAGUGAGCGAGAAGUAUGCGGAAUGCGUGGUGUAGCGGUGAAAUGCAUAGAUAUCACGCAGAACUCCGAUUGCGAAGGCAGCAUACCGGCGCUCAACUGACGCUCAUGCACGAAAGCGUGGGUAUCGAACAGGAUUAGAUACCCCUGUAGUC